UUGACAACGGGAGAAGCCAAUUUCGGGGUUACAAUGCAUUGUUCAAUGUUGAUUUAGGUCUGAGUUCGUGUACAAGUUGCACUUUGUUUAGGCAGGACAUUGACAUUGAUAGGAUGCUUACUGCUAACCCCUAGUGUGGCAUGACAAAAUGCAAUCAUUCAGAGAUGGGGAGAAAGAAAGUUACAGUAUGAAUGAUUUUGGACCUAAACACAGCACACCUAUUAAGGUAUGUACACAUUUCUUAACAUUUGUUUACUUGGCU
rnacentral:sRNA from 1 species